AUUGAACGCUGGCGGCAUGCUUUACACAUGCAAGUCGAACGGUAACAGGCCGCAAGGUGCUGACGAGUGGCGAACGGGUGAGUAAUGCAUCGGAACGUGCCCAGUCGUGGGGGAUAACGCAGCGGAAGCUGUGCUAAUACCGCAUACGAUCUAUGGAUGAAAGCGGGGGACCGUAAGGCAUCGCGCGAUUGGAGCGGCCGAUGUCAGAUUAGCUAGUUGGUGGGGUAAAGGCCCAACAAGGCGACGAUCUGUAGCUGGUCUGCGAGGACGACCAGCCACACUUGGACGGAGACACGGCCCAGACUCCUACGGGAGGCAGCAGUGGGGAAUUUUGGACAAUGGGCGCAAGCCUGAUUCAGCAAUGCCGCGUGCAGGAAGAAGGCCUUCGGGUUGUAAACUGCUUUUGUACGGAACGAAACGGUCUGGGUUAAUACCCUGGGCUAAUGACGGUACCGUAAGAAUAAGCACCGGCUAACUACGUGCCAGCAGCCGCAGUAAUAC
rnacentral:rRNA from 1 species